GAAAUGCGAUAAGUAAUGUGAAUUGCAGAAUUCAGUGAAUCAUCGAAUCUUUGAACGCACAUUGCGCCCGCCAGUAUUCUGGCGGGCAUGCCUGUCCGAGCGUCAUUUCAACCAUCAAGCCCCCGGGCUUGUGUUGGGGACCUGCGGCUGCCCGCAGGCCCUGAAAACCAGUGGCGGGCUCGCUGUCACACCGAGCGUAGUAGCAAUCACCUCGCUCAGGGCGUGCUGCGGGUCCCGGCCGUUAAACAGCCUUACAAAACCCAAGGUUGACCUCGGAUCAGGUAGGAAGACCCGCUGAACUUAAGC
rnacentral:misc_RNA from 1 species